UCACGGCACCGGCCAUAAACAACAGACCACGCGAAUAAAACACUAUAUUGACCUUUUAAAAAUAUAUUUUCGACAAAUUCAAACAUAAGUAUUCUACUUACGUGUGUUUCGCAUAAUUUGUGGUUAUUUAAUACAUUAGGAGGUAUAAUGGAGGAAUGGCAAAUCUAAACGCAUAGCUCAUUAGCAAACAAGAGGCGGGCGGGACCACCGGCGCUCUCAUUAACAUUGUGGAAGGGACUUCCAAGACGAAUGUCUACAUGUUUAAAACUGAAGAGCAUGCACCUGUCUUUUCUUAAGUUAUGUGUGUAUUCUUGGUGAAUGGUGGCGAAGAAAAACAUCGCGAGGAAACCUAUACACCAGAUAUUAUAUUCUGCGUAAGAAUUUCAAAGUGACCAUCGAAGACCAUCGUCCUUAAAGAAAAUCGCCCAUAGCAGCUCGAUUCGGAACAAAACACUACAAAGAAUCAAUAGAGAAGAGAGAAGCAAUGUAUUUCAUUAUUCAACAUUAAAUUU